rfam:Actinoalloteichus hymeniacidonis strain HPA177(T) (=DSM 45092(T)), complete genome.
CGACCAUCCUGAGCGGCUGAGAGACCUGGCUCUAUGACGCCGCAGCAACCACCCACUCGUUGGGCAGGUGCUAACGCCAGGACCGAUGGAGU